UUUGGUGUUUAAAAAUCGACCAUGCUUGGUAACACACGUCUACUACGCGCACAUAAUGAACGGAGUGAGGGCAACACCCCAGUGUCACGUCUGUAAGAAAAAAUUUCCCUACAACUGUCUGGUGUUCCACCAUUUUGUGAAGUACCACUUCAAUGAUUUUAUUAACUUGAACGAAUAUCGCCCUGAAUUAAUCUCUUAAAUUUGUAAAAAGUGUUCAUUUUUUUAACGAUUCAUCAUAAAAAUGAUGUUUUAUUAUUUAAUUGUAUCCAUAAGUUUUUGCGAUACGAUAUUUGUGUUCAAAAUUGUUUAAAUUACUAAAGUGAUUCAUUGAUGUUGAUGACAAUAAAAAAAUUACUAAAAUAAUGUGACUUAUUAUUUAUUAAACUCAAAUAUUUUGUGUAUUUUUUUCUUAUAAAAAAGUACAGGAUUACAAUUGUAUUUAUUACAAUAAAUAGCUCGAAAUAA
rnacentral:misc_RNA from 1 species